GCCGGCGGGGCGCGGAGGGCGCGCGUGCGCGGAGCGCGCGGCACUGCGGCGGGGUCGGGCUCCCCGGGCUCGUCCUCUUUAUCCUCCCCAUCCUCUUCAUCCUCGCUUGCCAAGCGCGUUUCCCUCUCUCCCCAUUGGCUGAACUCCCUGAGAGCUCGGUGCGGAGGAGGCGCCGGGCACUUCGAAGGCAGCCAGGGUCUGGGAAUUUUCCUGCAUUAUUUUGAGAAAAUAAUUUUAUGUUGAGGAGCAAUACAACUUCCUGGAAUUCCAGGUUAUGCUGUUUCUGUGUUCCUGACUUUGUUUACAUCGGGGACGUGUGGCUCGGAGCUCAGCAGCCGGAUAUGUUACUGACCCACGUCAGAUUUGGAAUGAUACUUGGGAAGAUUACAGCUGUAGUGAAGGAUGAUACAAGAUACACAGAAGGAUGUCUGCCUGUGAGGACCCAGAAGUGCUACGCUGUCAAGCCUGGCAUCAGUGAAUUCCUUGACACAGCUCGCAGAACAUACAGGGAAAUUGUUGAUGACACAGCAGGUAUUUCUAAACUGAAAUUGAUAUGUGCUUUGGGUUGAAAGUACAUUGCACUAGACCAACAGAAGCCUUGUAAUUCUAAUGCAGUUAUAGAUGAUGUGUGUUACGUGUAUUGUGAAGGUCUGUACCCUUCUCAUAGGUAAAAAAGUAUUCAGUGUUGGUGUGAAUUGAUAGUCAUUGAUAAGCAACUGAGGUUCUCUAGUUCUGGAGGAAAAAAUCAGUUUCAUUUCAAUAAAAUGGAAUAAUUACAUGGUGAUUCCUACAUUCCAAACUCUGUUAGUCCUUGCCCUCUCAAAGUGCAAAAAAGUUGAAGUAAGGGAACAGGAUCGCUCCACCUAAAACAUUCUGCGUGAACCNC
rnacentral:lncRNA from 12 species